UACGGAGGGUGCAAGCAUUAAUCGGAUUUAUUGGGCGUAAAGGACGCGUAGGCGGGGAUGAAAGUCGGAUGUGAAAUCCCGGGGCUCAACCUCGGAACAGCAUUCGAAACUUCAUAUCUAGAGGGUAGGCGGAGAAAAUGGAAUUCCACAUGUAGCGGUGAAAUGCGUAGAUAUGUGGAAGAACACCGGUGGCGAAGGCGAUUUUCUAGCUUAUACCUGACGCUGAGGCGUGAAAGUAAGGGGAUCAAACAGG
rnacentral:rRNA from 1 species